rnacentral:rRNA from 1 species
AUUGAACGCUGGCGGCAUGCCUUACACAUGCAAGUCGAACGGUAACAGGUUAAGCUGCCGUGUGGCGAACGGGUGAGUAAUACAGCGGAACGUGCCCAGUAGUGGGGGAUAGCCCGGCGAAAGCCGGAUUAAUACCGCAUACGACCUAAGGUUGAAAGGGGGGGAUCGCAAGACCUCUCGCUAUUGGAGCGGCCGAUGUCAGAUUAGCUAGUUGGUGGGGUAAAGGCUCACCAAGGCGACGAUCUGUAGCUGGUCUGAGAGGACGACCAGCCACACUGGGACUGAGCACCGGCCCAGACUCCUACGGGAGGCAGCAGUGGGGAAUUUUGGACAAUGGGCGCAAGCCUGAUCCAGCCCUGCCGCGUGCGGGAAGAAGGCCUUCGGGUUGUAAACCGCUUUUGUCAGGGAAGAAAUCCUUUGGGUUAAUACCUCGGGGGGAUGACGGUACCUGAAGAAUAAGCACCGGCUAACUACGUG